rnacentral:RNase_MRP_RNA from 1 species
AAGUUCCCCCGAGCAACACCACGGAGCCACAAUCGAAGUCCUUAGUGACUAUCCAUUUGCUCUGAGGAAAGUCCCUGGACCACGGGCAGAAAGUGCCGUAGCGUAAACGCUGCUAGCCUCUGCAGUCUUCUCGAACAUGGAAAGGAUGCCUUUUAAGGUUGAUCUUCGAGUUGUGCGAGAGCGUGUUGGUCCAAGAAAAGUAAUGUGUUGAAUAAGUUUAUCUCCUCUCUCCUAGGGUGGAGGAUUGAAGAACAGUUUCAACUAAACAGGGCUCUUUACGGGGGAACU